UGCUCCCGGGCCGCCGCCCGCCGCGGUUCCUGCCGGGGGCUGGGCAGCCCCGCACCGAGCCUUCACCUGGGCUCCCGCUCAGGCCUUUAACGCCAGGAUCAAAGCUCAGCCCCACACGCCUCCCUCGCGCACAGCACUGCCUGCAAUGGCUGUGCGACAGCAAGAGCUCCAGUGUAGUGUAGCAGACACCAGCAGUCCGGCCCCGCUCCGUGCGGGUGAAUCUAUGCUGCCUGCCAGGCAUGGAGUGGGCGGGGGGCCCCAGGUUGGGGAACAGCGCUGGACUGUCCUGCUCUCCUGCAGCACCGGCCGGGGAGCCAGCUUAAUUUGACAGCCUCGUGCAUGUAAACACGGAUGCAACGCUCCAAAAUAAACAAGUUUAAAUUUUAUAAACUUAUUUCAUGAGGAUUAAAACCCAUGGUGUGUA